rnacentral:rRNA from 1 species
UACGUAGGGGGCAAGCGUUGUCCGGAAUUAUUGGGCGUAAAGAGCGCGUAGGCGGUCCGAUAAGUCGGCUGUGAAAGUCCAGGGCUCAACCCUGGAAAGCCGGCCGAUACUGUCGGACUAGAGUCCGGAAGAGGCAAGUGGAAUUCCCGGUGUAGCGGUGAAAUGCGCAGAUAUCAGGAAGAACACCCGUGGCUAAGGCGGCUCUCUAGUACGGUACUGACGCUGAGACGCGAAAGCGUGGGGAGCGAACAGG